AAACAGGGGAUUGCCCUAGUAACGGCGAGUGAAGCGGCAACAGCUCAAAUUUGAAAUCUGGCUCUUUUAGAGUCCGAGUUGUAAUUUGCAGAGGGCGCUUUGGCUUUGGCAGCGGUCCAAGUUCCUUGGAACAGGACGUCACAGAGGGUGAGAAUCCCGUACGUGGUCGCUGGCUAUUGCCGUGUAAAGCCCCUUCGACGAGUCGAGUUGUUUGGGAAUGCAGCUCUAAAUGGGAGGUACAUUUCUUCUAAAGCUAAAUAUUGGCCAGAGACCGAUAGCGCACAAGUAGAGUGAUCGAAAGAUGAAAAGCACUUUGGAAAGAGAGUCAAACAGCACGUGAAAUUGUUGAAAGGGAAGCGCUUGCAGCCAGACUUGCUUACAGUUGCUCAUCCGGGUUUCUACCCGGUGCACUCUUCUGUAGGCAGGC
rnacentral:rRNA from 1 species